rnacentral:lncRNA from 1 species
UACUCUUGCAGAAGCAGAAAGCUUCAUGGAACAAUAUUAAUCUUCUGGUCAUCUCUGUGCUGGUCUAGUUGCCCAUAAAGUUGUCAGAUUGACUUUGGAUUUAAAGCCUGAAAAUGAGUCCCAAGGAAAUCCGUUGACAUGAGGCCCAAGGAAGACAGUUUUUGGAAGGGGCAAGGAGGGACAGUUCUCUGCUCCACUGAAGCUAGGUAUGGCCAUGUGACCCAUGUUGCC